GUGACAUCACAGGAAGCAGGAAGUAGUAAGGUUUAGUGACGUUUGCACAUGGCCAAGGAGACUGGCAUGAAUCCACAUGCAUCUGCCCUCAAUCCUUCGUCUUUUGGAGCAUCGUCUUUUCACACUUUCUACAUCAUUAAACCUGUGGACAAAGAGUAAUGGUCUUCAGAGUCUUGAUGGAAGAAAAGUGUUGAACCUUGCUGCUGGUUCCUCUUCUGUGCAGUGUGGAGAGGGAAAGACAGUACACACUCGUUUUACGACAAGACGCUGUCAAGAAGCCAAAUAAAACUGAUGCUGACUUGGUGUGGAUAUACAUGGUCAACUGGAACAUUGGAGACAACGUGAAGAUCGACCUCAUCAGCAACACUGGAGAAGAACAGAUGCUGUUUAAAAAACAAGAUCAUGUUAAAUAAUCAUUGUAACUUUUCUGUGGAAUAAAUUAAAAAAGAGCAUUAUUACAUUUUAUAUAUUUGAUAUCAUUUUAUGUUAGUUAAAAAUUUUGUGUUUUUAUUUAAUUAAAAAUAUGUAAAUAAAAAAGAUCUUCAAAAAGGAG